rnacentral:rRNA from 1 species
GUGGGGAAUAUUGGGCAAUGGGGGAAACCCUGACCCAGCAACGCCGCGUGAGGGAAGAAGGUUUUCGGAUUGUAAACCUCUGUCCUUGGUGACGAAGGAAGUGACGGUAGCCAAGGAGGAAGCCCCGGCUAACUACGUGCCAGCAGCCGCGGUAAUACGUAGGGGGCAAGCGUUGUCCGGAAUGACUGGGCGUAAAGGGCGUGUAGGCGGCCGAUUAAGUCUGGAGUGAAAGUCCUGCUUUCAAGGUGGGAAUUGCUUUGGAGACUGGUUGGCUUGAGUGCGGAAGAGGUAAGUGGAAUUCCCAGUGUAGCGGUGAAAUGCGUAGAGAUUGGGAGGAACACCAGUGGCGAAGGCGACUUACUGGGCCGUAACUGACGCUGAGGCGCGAAAGCGUGGGGAGCGAACAGGAUUAGAAACCCUAGUAGUCC